UGUGCUGCUGCUUCACUGUGCAUACUGAGCUAUCCCAUAAUGCAGCGGGGCUGACGCGGAAGAGCUGCAGGAAUCCGCGCGGUGUGGUAAAUCCGGAUUGUGUUGGUGUUUAUUAUUGUACUGAUCAGUAGUACUGAACCGCAUGCAGCAGGUUCUGUCACACUGCUGGAGCCAGCGGCGUCACAUUACGUGCGUAUGACGUCACCUGCCAGCGACUGCUUAACUGCGUGUACUUCCGCUCUGGUUCACAUCGUGACCAUCAUCAUCAUCAUCACCAUCAGCAGUCAUGGUCUCUCGUUCUCUCCUGCUGGUUCUGCUGGGUCUCGCCUGCCUUCAGUCCUUCACAACGGCUGGGAGUGUAAAUGAAGUAGGUCGAUGCUGUUUCAGUCACCAGACACAUCAAAUCCCUGUAAGAGUCAUUACAGCGUAUGAAGUAACAGACCCUCAGUGUCCAAAACCUGGAGUCAUCUUUACUGUAAAGAGCGGCCGUAAGGUGUGUGCAGACCCCAACGUCGAUUGGGUGCAGAAACUCAUGAAAACAAUUGACCAGCGCUCGACCCAACCUCAAACAACUGAUUAAAUCCUCUCUCCAUUAAUAAGCAUUUAAUUUUAUUUUUUUAAAUACAAAAAGCACUUUUGAUAUAUUUAGACAGGAGGAAUAAAGCUUUUUAUUAUAAAUCAGAUUUAAACAAACCUUUCAGUGGUUUAGUCUAAUAUUGUUUACCUGAUCUAAACUAUAGGCUGUGAGGAUGAAUGAAUUAUAAUUUAUGCAUAUCAAAGGACAUUUUAAACUGUC